CCGGCUGUAGCUCAGUGGCAGAGCGAGCGUUACUUUUCAUUUCGCACGUCCCUGGUUCGACUCCGGGCGGCUGGA